UCGGGGUUAGUGGCGGACGGGUGAGUAACACGUGGGAACGUGCCUUUAGGUUCGGAAUAGCUCCUGGAAACGGGUGGUAAUGCCGAAUGUGCCCUUCGGGGGAAAGAUUUAUCGCCCUUGGAUUGUCCCGCGUCCGAUUAGCUUGUUGGUGAGGUAAUGGCUCACCAAGGCGACGAUCGGUAGCUGGUCUGAGAGGAUGAUCAGCCACACUGGGACUGAGACACGGCCCAGACUCC
rnacentral:rRNA from 1 species